rnacentral:tRNA from 1 species
CUGGGUGUAGCUCAGCAGCAGAGCACGUGGCUCACGUCCACGCGGUCACCGGUGCGAUCCCGGUCGCCCAGACCA